CGCCGACUAGCUAGCCCCACCAAUAAAAACAACAACCCAAUAUUUAUACCCCUAAAAACACUUCCACCACAAAACAAACCAUUUUUCCCCCUUAGUAUGGGCGACAGAAAAGGGACUAUUAGAGCAAUAGAGAAAGUACCGCAAGGGAACGCUGAAAGAGAAAUGAAAUAACCCAGUAAAGCCUAAAAAAGCAGAGAUUUAUGCUCGUACCUUUUGCAUCAUGAUUUAGCUAGUAACCCCCAGGCAAAGAGCAUUUUAGUCUGGGCCCCCGAAACUACGUGAGCUACUCCAAGACAGCCUAAUCAAUAGGGCAAACCCGUCUCUGUGGCAAAAGAGUGGGAAGAGCUUUGAGUAGAGAUGACAGAUCUACCGAACCUAGUUAUAGCUGGUUGCCUGAGAACUGGAUAGGAGUUCAGCCUCCAGAUUUCUCCACUCCCCACCGGUCUCACCUUAACCGACGUCCAGAGAAAUCUAGAGAGUUAGUCAAAAGGGGUACAGCCCUUUUGAAACAAGACACAACUUUACCAGGAGGGAAAAGAUCAUAAUAAUUGAAGGCAACAAUGCCCAGGUGGGCCUAAAAGCAGCCAUCCCUACUAAAAGCGUUAAAGCUUAAGCAUUAAACCUCCCCCACAUAUUCCGAUAACCCAAUCCCAGCCCCCUAACAUUAUCAGGCCUUCUCAUGUUAACAUGAGAGCGCACAUGCUAAUAUGAGUAAUAAGAGAGGCCCCCCCCUCUCUCCCUGCACAAGUGUAAAUCGGAACGAACCCCCACCGAAGAUUAACGGCCCCAACAACAGAGGGCAAUGAACGACAAAAAAAUAACCAGAAAACCAUCCAAGAAAUAACCGUUAACCCCACACUGGUGUGCCCCCAAGGAAAGACUAAAAGAAAAAGAAGGAACUCGGCAAACAUUUCAAGCCUCGCCUGUUUACCAAAAACAUCGCCUCUUGCAAGCAAAGAAUAAGAGGUCCAGCCUGCCCUGUGACUAUAUGUUUAACGGCCGCGGUAUUUUAACCGUGCAAAGGUAGCGCAAUCACUUGUCUCUUAAAUGGGGACCUGUAUGAAUGGCAUAACGAGGGCUUAACUGUCUCCUUUUUCAAGUCAAUGAAAUUGAUCUCCCCGUGCAGAAGCGGGGAUAAAAACAUAAGACGAGAAGACCCUAUGGAGCUUUAGACACUAAGGCAUAUCAUAUUUAAUACCCCUAAAUAAAGGACUAAACCAAAUGAACCAUGCCCCUAUGUCUUAGGUUGGGGCGACCCCGAGGAAAUAAAAAACCCCCGAGUGGAAUGGGAGUACUACCUCCUACAACCAAGAGCUGCAGCUCUAAUUAACAGAAUAUCUGACCAAUAACGAUCCGGCAAAACCGAUCAACGGACCAAGUUACCCUAGGGAUAACAGCGCAAUCCCCUUUCAGAGCCCAUAUCGACAAGGGGGUUUACGACCUCGAUGUUGGAUCAGGACAUCCUAAUGGUGCAGCCGCUAUUAAGGGUUCGUUUGUUCAACGAUUAAAGUCCUACGUGAUCUGAGUUCAGACCGGAGUAAUCCAGGUCAGUUUCUAUCUAUGACAUGUUCUUUUCUAGUACGAAAGGACCGAAAAGAAGAAGCCAAUGCUUUAAGCACGCCUCACCCCUCCUAACGAAAACAACUAAAAUAGGCAAAAGGGCAUACCCCUUCAGGCCAAAGAUAUAUGGUCU
rnacentral:rRNA from 1 species